UCCUUUCUUCCAUCUAUCCUAGACUCUCCUAAUGCAAGUUUGGAAAAAUUUUAAGAUUGAAAAAUGUUUUCAAGCUUUAGAAAAUAGCAUAAAUGAAAUAAAGGAGACAUAAAAUAGUAAUAAACCAAAGAGAUAGUUAAAGCAGCAUGUUUUGCUCAAUCAUAGUAAAAUAAAUUCAGCUUUUAAAUGGAAAUGAUCGCUCUCCUUAGAAGCUGUGAGAUCACUGUGGUAUGUGCAACAAAAUUACUGCAGAGAAAAAGUAGCUGGAGGAAGCUGAAAAUCGUUAAGAUGCUCUAAUUAUUAUUUUAAUUAACUCUGGGUUCUUAUUAACUUCACUGUGUAUACCUCAGGUUUUAAAAUGAACAGGUUGCUGCUCAUUAUUGCUGAUAAUAAAAUAAAGCAGGUUAGCUAAUGUUAUUAUUUUUAGAUGUAUCUGUUAGCUCAAUUACAAUUAAAGGGCUGUUACACCAGUGCUCCUGUAUCACACAGCCUCAAAAUUAAAAAAUGUGGUGCUUUCUCCCUGCCAGAACAGUCCUCCGUUUUAGGUGGGAGAUGUGAGCAUGCAGCUUCAUUCCUAGCACAAACCAAAGUGUGCCCAAAAGCAGAGUGCACAAGAAUUUGGCUUCACAAAAACUAGGUGUACUAAGACUAAGAAAAUAGCUCUAGCAAGCAGGAGAAAGUAAAGUUCCUAAUGGUCAAAAAAUGUAGCAAGUGUUGACUUUGACCUCUUCUACUGCAGUGGAGCUGCAGUAGCACAUUUUCCUUCUGGGAUGAGAGUUUAUAAUUGUGCUUACUGCUUUGAGGCCCUGAAAGCACUGUGUGCAUUGGAAAGAACUCAGCUAAACUUGAUCUCUGUUACUCUCUUGGUCCAGGGAGAGCCAUAGAGCUCCUGCAUGUGGAGCAGUGCUGAGCCCUCCUGCCAGAAACAGCUGCAAAGCCUCUGCUGUAAGGCAUCAGGCAUGGCAGGAGGUUUUGUGUCCUGAGUCUGCCUUGUUGUCACUGGAAGUGCUCUCCCAAAGGGAUGGUGGGUCCUGGUGGGACUAGUUGUCGUAAGUGCUUGCAGGCACUUUUAUUCCUAAGGAGUGGUGUCCCAGCAUGCUGUGUGUGUGAGCGAUGAGCUGAGGGCUGGCUGUUUUCUCAGGUAUUGGAUCCAUUCUAGUGGUGGCACACCAGGACAAAGGGAGAUUGCUCCUAGGUAGGAACUCUGCGCAGGGCACAGUGCUCAUGUGGGCGGGGAGCGCCUGAGUAAUUCAAUUUUCAUGUAUUUAGUAAAGUUAUUCUAAGUAAGUUUGUAGAUGAUAGUAAAUUGGGAGGAGCUGCUGACGCUCUCCAGGGAAGAGAAGCCUUGCAGAGAGAUUUCAGCAGACAAAAGUGGCCACUACCAACCACGUGAAGUUUAACAAAAGAGCAGAGCCAGUUGUGUCCUGGAGAGCACCAGGCUCAGCACUGCCACCUGGUGAAGGAAGGGGUUUUCCCGCUCUGCUCUGCACUGUGCAGCCUCGCCUCAAGCGCUUGGUGCAAUGUGAGUACAGCAGUGUAAGAAGAACGUUAAACUAUAACAGAAUGUCCAAAGAGGGGCUAUAAAGAUGGAAAAUGCUCUGAAAGGCAAGGUGUGUGAGGAGCAGCUGAGGCUCCUGGGUUUGCUCAGCCCGGAACAGGGGAGCUGAAGGGAGGCCUGAUGGCGGCUGCAGCUCCUCACAGCGAGAGGAGGGGCAGCGCUGAGCUCUGGUCUGUGACAGCGACAGGGCCCGAGGGAACGGCAUGGAGUUGUGUCAGGAGGGUCAGGCGGGGGUCAGGGAAAAGUCCUGUACCAGCGGGCAUGGCCCCAAGUGCCAGAGUUCAAGGAUUGUCUGGUUGCUGCUCUCAGAUGUUGGGUUUGGAUUUUGGGUGGUGCCGUGUGAAGCCAGGGGUUGGAGUUUCUGAUCUUCUGGAAGAGAAGUGGUUCUCUUCCAACUUAAGAUAUUCCAGGAUUUAUAAAUGAGCUCCAAGUAAAUGCUUGGUUUCCAAAGUGCCACUUCUUUAGAAAGCUGGGAAGUGGAGGGUGAUGCAGGUGCCUAUCCCCUCUGUGGGGCCUUUGAUGCCCACCCAUGCUGUGCAGUCAGCAGUGGUGCCCAGACGUUUGCAGGCCUGCCCUGUAAGCAUAGUUUCUGUGGAAUGAAGUAGAAUCCAUGAGUGGAAUUUGCUGUAGAAGACAAAUGAAGCUGUGGGGAAGCAGGAUGGCUUUGGAGGUGAGGGGAGCGGAGGGGGGGGGUGCAAGGCUGGAGAGCUGUAGGAUGCUGCUGUAACUCUCAGGUUGCUGAGUAUCUCAAAGCAGAGACCUUGGUCAAACCAAACCCUGUGGUACCCAUCAGCACCUCACCGUGUGUCUGAAAUUAGCUAAGCAGUGCUCACUGUCCCCGAGCUUCAUGUGGGGAACUGGGCCAGAUGAGGCAUAAUAGGGAAUGAGGGGAAGCCCUCAGCACACUUCCUUGGAAAUGAGGUGUUAUCAACCAUCGGUGCGACAAACAGCCCAGCUCCAGAAGGACAGUGUGACACAGGAAACUGAAGCAAGGUGAGUGCCUGGUUCCUGUUGUUGUGGUGAUUCCUAUAGACCCUGUUAAAAAAAAAAAAAAGAAUUAAAAAAUGAAUAUAUAUGUAUACGUGUAGAAAGCCCCAAACGCUGACAUUGGUGAUUCAGUUUGCAAGGGGAGCGGAAGCUCUGCUUUUUAGUCGCACUCUCAUUGUUGCUCAUCUAACCCAGGACUGUGCUUGUUCUUAGCAAAAGUGGAGGCUUUCUAAGAAGUGCUGUGAACAGAGAAAUUUUCCUGCCGCUAUGAAAAUCAUCUGAAGUCAGAGUUGAAACAACCAGUAUCCCGAGGAGCAUUGCAUUGAGUUCUGUGGUUUAGAUUACAGCUGUCCACUGUCUACACUUUAUGAUAGCAUGCUGUGAUGGUGCUCUGCUGGCGGGCAGCAGUUUUCCAUGGCAAGAAUAUGGUUGGAGAGACAGAAUUCUUCACAACAGCUCUUCAGAAGACAUAUGCUUCACAUCUGAGCACUGUGCUGGGACUGCAGUGCAGGCUGGAGAUACGUGCACCAAGGCCAUUCCGGCUGCCCAUGCCUGUGGAAGGGUGCAGCAUUGACUCGGGAUCCUGGGCUGGGACUGGGACUCCUUCAUCCCCUCAGUACUCCAGGCAUUACACGGGAGAGGAGCACAUCAAGAUUUGUAAUGGAGAUCUGUGACGACCUUCUUGCUCACUUCAUGCAACUAAGCAACCUGGCUUUUGUGAGGAAAUGCUUAUUGUUUUGAAGACUUUUUCUUCCCAAGUGGUUGUGGGUUUGUGGGAAAAUGGAGGGAGAAGCCUCUUGCCCUGUUACUGCCUUCAGCUGCUCUGAAUGAUGGUAGCAUUGAGAAAAGGAAGUUUUUUGCUUUGUGAUUUGUAACCCAGGCUCACUCUGGGAAGGUCUGAGCACUUAUGUACUCCUUAUGGUUUGUUAACAACCUUCAUCCAGAAACCACAUGAGAUGUCUGCCCAGCUCUAGUGCUGACUUCAGAGAUCGGCUCUCGAUGCAAGGGAGCAGACAAGGCACUAUUUUUAGAAGAUUUUAAUGCGUAUCUUUGAAGCUUGCUUUAUUCAGAAAUAAAAAGGAAGUGGUAAUCAGUUGUACAGAAACUGUGCGAGCUGCAGUGCUGAGAAGCCCAUUGUGCUUCUGGAGCUCAGCUCCAAGUAAUCUGACCAGCACAGAAAAGCAGAAGUGGAAAGUGAAAGUAUUAGGAAAAAGAAUGGUUAACUUGGGACAGGAAACUUGGGUGCAGAAUGUGAAAGCAGUAGUUACUUAAAAAUUAAGUGGGAAGCAGAGAUGUUCUCAGGCUUUUCUCAGAUAUCAGAAGUGUGUUCAAGGCAAAGGGUCUUGUCAAGCAAAUCUCUGAGCUUCAAGAAAUGAAACGAAGCUGCUACCAAACUAGGCUGUUUCAGAGCUUCUGGACUUAACUAAAAGAGCCAGGAGUGAGCUACUUCUGUUUCUCUGAGAAGUUCUCAAAGUUGUAUUUAUGUUAUGUGGACCUCAGUAAUGGUCUACAUACUGGUGUUUAAAAUCUGUUGAUUUUAAUAUUUCAUAGAAAACAGUUACAUGUAAUGAAUUUUUAUAGGAAAAAUUUCCAACUUUGAACUGGUUACCAAGUUCUUCCAUCAUUCAAAAAUGCAUGCAUUUCUAAAGCAGACCAUUUGGGCUGCAAAUGUCACAUUCACAUAUUUUAAUACCCGUUCUAAAUUUUAAAAAUCUCAUUUUGUAAUUUGCCCUAUUUUUGUAUGUAUUGUUUUGUAUAACUGUUUUUGUAUGUGCAAGUAUGUGGAUGAGAAGACAGCAUGGGAUUCUGAGAUCUUUCCUGACAGGGCAGGUACUGGGACAUCUCCCUGGGGGGGAAGUUUUGACUGAUGCUUAUACACCAUUUGUUAGGCUCCACACACACUGCCACCUAGAACUCAUUUUGAAGCUUGUCUGAUGAUGAUGGUGAUGAUGACAGACUAUUUUGACAUGGCACCUUAUGCGUAUGCCACUUCAUGGACAAUUCAUUAAAAUAAUGUAGGGUGUGCCACUGACUGACCAGACUCCUACUUCAUCACCCAGACAAAUAAGUAACUUUUCUGUGCUGCAGUCACAGGUCUCUUUUUUUUUUUUUCUCAAGUUAAGUCCAGACUCAUUUAAUUAGAGAAGAGAAGCUGAUGUAAUGACCGAUGAUGUGGGCAAAGGUGUUAUGAGAGGGAGCGAAGGCAGAGAGGCUUCUUUCAAAGUUGUUUCUGUUUCCCUCUUCAGCAUCUCAUCCAGCUCUCUCACUACUCAGAAUUUUGUGAGCCUUCUCGGAUUGUUCUCACCAAUAUAAAGGAAGAUUGGCACAGUUCUGGUGUUCCUGCUCCCCCAAAGUAAAACUGUGGCUCUAUGAAAUGAUGAGUCUUAUGUGGAAUAAGAGACCCUGCAGACACCUUGCUGCUCAGCUGCAGCUUGACCAGUAGAGACACUCUAAGUCAGGCAUUUCUACUUUAGAUGGAGGCUGCUGUUCUCUGUCUGCAGCGGGAAGGUUGGUGGCAAUGAGUAAACUCACCCCAGGUAAUUCAGAUUUUUUUACUUGGAAAAAGGUCUGCUUGCUGUGACUCAGAUUGAUCCUUACCUUGCGCAAAUAUAACAGCUUCUCAAAGCAUCUCCCACCAAGCAGUGUUUGCAGCACCCUUUUAUUGUGGUUUACAUGUGCGCAGACUGUUCUCUGUAGGACAGCAGCAGGCAGAGUUUCCGCUGAAACAUGUUCAAGCUGAAUUUCUCCCAUGCAUUGUCUGUGUGGUUGUAUUUCCUUAAGCACGCACAUUUUUGUAACUUUACUUUUUAAUUAUUAAAAAUAUUGUUUCUAAGUAGUGCUGAUGUGAGUACUAAGCACACUUUGUUCAGGCUGUGGCUUCAAAGCAGUGACUGAUUCAAUGCAAAAGCAUUAAAAUAGCGUGUCAGGCAGGACAGCUGGCACAGAGGCUUUUGUGUAUCAACAUGUGCACCUUUUGUUUCUUUGCUCUAGACAGGUCUAAGUAAGGAAAAGAAAGCACUGUGCACACCUGCAUAACAUACACCAUACUGAGGUCUGCUUUUCUAAUGAAAAUGAAACAUCUUCAAGUGGAGCAAGAGCUGUCAUGUUGAGGAAGAACAGAUAGUGCACAAUUCUGCUGCUUCUGUCAGCGUUAGCGUCAAAAGGACUUUGUAUAACUUAAACUGUGUGCAAUAACUACCACAUGCCUCUCAAAAUUAUGUCCUUUUCUCUCAUAGUUAAACAGCUGUAUUUAAAGAGAUAGUUUUGAAUUUUGUAUGGAAGUUACAAUUAUUUGUGCACUUUGGGAUU